UGUUCUGCGGCUUAGUUUGUUAAAGCGCCGGACUAGCGAUACGGAGUGGUAGGUACGAAUCCCACCAAAACCA
rnacentral:tRNA from 1 species